rnacentral:lncRNA from 1 species
UUAGUUUCCUGCUUAAAACAGAGUGAGAUGCCAGCUUUGGACACCUCCAGGCAAGAAAGAACCUUGAGACACACCAAUCUUCUCUUCUUGAUCCAACUGUGAAAAGGUGUGGCAAAUACAGCAUGUUGUUAGUGUAUCUAUGAGCACAGUGCACAUCCAUCACUUACAUGCUUAUCUCAACUUCAGAAAUAGGACCAUUGAUUUACAAAUGAAUUCAUAAAGCCGAGCUGCAAAAGUCAUGGGUGAGUAAUUUAAAAAGGUAUUUGUUCUUUCUUUAUUGAAUACCAUAUGCCAUCCAUGCACAAUUCUCAUGAUGGCCUAAUUCAAUUUUCAUGAGAAUAUAAACAAAGGGGGAUAAUGAAAUGUAAUUGAUCACUAUAUGUAUCAUUACUACUGCUUACAAUAAACUAUGCUGUGUAAAAAGAAAUUUCUUCUAA